GACCACUCCUGUGAUCGUUGCAGCUGGGGCUGGAGGGGAGGAAGAAGGCUACCCAGUUAUAUCUACCCAAGUAUGAACCAUUUUGGGAAUAAUCAAAGCCAUGUGAUCUAUUGGCUCUAAUGUAAGGUGAACAUGUCAAACCUUUUAAGCCAGAGAAAGCAAAAGAAAUUAUCAUGUCUUUACAACAACCUGCAAUCUUCUGUAACAUGGUGUUUGAUUGGCCAGCACGACACUGGAAUGCUAAAUACCUUUCACAGGUCCUUCAUGGCAAGCAGAUACGAUUCAGAAUGGGGAUGAAAAGCAUGAGCACAGUUCCUCAGUUUGAAACUACAUGUAAUUACAUAGAAGCUACACUCGAAGAGUUUCUGACCUGGAACUGUGACCAGUCUAGUAUUUCUGGACCAUUUAGAGAUUAUGACCAUUCCAAGUUCUGGGCUUAUGCUGACUAUAAAUAUUUUGUCAGUCUAUUUGAAGACAAGACAGAUAUUUUCCAGGAUGUGAAAUGGUCUGACUUCGGGUUUCCUGGAAGAAAUGGACAGGAAAGUACAUUGUGGAUUGGCUCCUUGGGAGCCCACACACCCUGUCAUCUGGACUCCUAUGGUUGUAACUUGGUAUUCCAGGUACAAGGAAGGUAA
rnacentral:sRNA from 1 species